rnacentral:rRNA from 1 species
CCUACGGGUGGCAGCAGUGGGGAAUAUUGGGCAAUGGGCGCAAGCCUGACCCAGCAACGCCGCGUGAAGGAAGAAGGCUUUCGGGUUGUAAACUUCUUUUGUCAAGGGACAAAAUCAGGCUCGAGAGCCUGACCGAGGGUACUUGAAGAAAAAGCAUCGGCUACCUCCGUGCCAGCAGCCGCUGUAAUACGGAGGAAGCGAUCGUUAUCCGGAUUUAUUGGGUUCAAGGGGGGCGUAGGGGGGCUGUUAAGUCACCGGUAAAAGCCCGGGUCUCAACCCCGGCGAGCCGUUGAAACUGGCUGUCUGGAGAUGUCGAGAGGUAUGCGGAAUGCGCAGUGUAGCGGUGAAAUGCUUAGAUAUUGCGCAGAACUCCGAUUGCGAAGGCAGCAUACCGGCGGCGAUCUGACGCUGAGGCACGAAAGCGUGGGUAUCGAACAGGAUUAGAUACCCCAGUAGUC